rnacentral:rRNA from 1 species
AGAGCGAACGCUGGCGGCAGGCUUAACACAUGCAAGUCGAACGGACUCUUCGGAGUUAGUGGCGGACGGGUGAGUAACACGUGGGAACGUGCCUUUUGGUUCGGAAUAAGCUCGGGAAACUGGGUCUAAUACCGAAUGUGCCCUUCGGGGGAAAGAUUUAUCGCCAUUAGAGCGGCCCGCGUCUGAUUAGCUAGUUGGUGAGGUAAAGGCUCACCAAGGCUACGAUCAGUAGCUGGUCUGAGAGGAUGACCAGCCACAUCGGGACUGAGACACGGCCCAAACUCCUACGGGAGCAGCAGUGGGGAAUCUUGCGCAAGUGGGGACGAAACGACCGUACGACG